rnacentral:lncRNA from 1 species
AAUGGUUUCUGUUUGAAGCCCUCCCCACUCGCUUGGCCAGCACCUCUGUGAGUCAUGACACAUACUGGCAAGGUUGGAUGUGACGUUAGAAUUGACAGAAGCUGAGAGGUCUACAGGGGACUGAACAUGUGGCUCUUACUGAGCUGCUGAGUUGUGGACUCUGAAAAGUGGUGUGCACAUAAAAGAGCCAGAGCUGAGUCAAAUCACCUAUAAAACCAUCCACCUGAAGGAUCAGUCAGAAAGGAGCAAAGGAUAAAUGACCUCUGGUAGUUACAUGUAAUUACUGCAUCCU